rnacentral:rRNA from 1 species
GAUGAACGCUGGCGGCGUGCCUAAUACAUGCAAGUCGAGCGAACGGACGAGAAGCUUGCUUCUCUGCUGUUAGCGGCGGACGGGUGAGUAACACGUGGAUAACCUACCUAUAAGACUGGGAUAACUUCGGGAAACCGGAGCUAAUACCGGCUAAUAUUUUGAACCGCAUGGUUCAAAAGUGAAAGACGGUCUUGCUGUCACUUAUAGAUGGAUCCGCGCUGCAUUAGCUAGUUGGUAAGGUAACGGCUUACCAAGGCAACGAUGCAUAGCCGACCUGAGAGGGUGAUCGGCCACACUGGAACUGAGACACGGUCCAGACUCCUACGGGAGGCAGCAGUAGGGAAUCUUCCGCAAUGGGCGAAAGCCUGACGGAGCAACGCCGCGUGAGUGAUGAAGGUCUUCGGAUCGUAAAACUCUGUUAUUAGGGAAGAACAUAUGUGUAAGUAACUGUGCACAUCUUGACGGUACCUAAUCAGAAAGCCACGGCUAACUACGUG